UAGGGAAUAUUGCACAAUGGGGGAAACCCUGAUGCAGCGACGCCGCGUGAGUGAUGAAGGCCUUCGGGUCGUAAAGCUCUGUCGUAUGGGACUAACAAAAUGAAGGUACCAUGCAAGAAAGGAUCGGCUAACUUCGUGCCAGCAGCCGCGGUAAGACGAGGGAUCCUAGCGUUGUUCGGAAUUAUUGGGCGUAAAGCGGGUGUAGGCGGACUUAUAAGUCAGGUGUGAAAUCCCAGGGCUCAACCCUGGAAGUGCACUUGAUACUGCAAGUCUUGAGUGUGGUAGAGGCUAUUAGAAUUCUUGGUGUAGUGGUGAAAUACGUAGAUAUCAAGAGGAAUACCGGAGGCGAAGGCGGAUAGCUGGGCCAACACUGACGCUGAGACCCGAAAGCGUGGGGAUCAAACAGG
rnacentral:rRNA from 1 species